AAAAGGCCCUACAAGUCAUGAUCAGAUGAACAUGAAUCAGAAUAAGUUCAGUAGGCCCCACAGUAGGCAGACUUUGGGCCCCAAAAACCAACAGAAUGCAGAGCACAACAUGGGUACAACGCCAAAUUAAUUCCAAUUCCCUGAUAUCUGAGCCACCCAACGUGUGUAGCUGCGUGCACGGCAACAUUUUCUCACUCCAAGGUUUUUUGAAAAGUUGGCAGCUCUGUGGUGACACGUUUUAGUACACUUUGCAGUGAGUGUGUUUGCCCUACAAUGCUAAAAAGUUGCAGUCAAAUUUGGCAAAAUUGCUAG
ensembl:lncRNA